rnacentral:rRNA from 1 species
GAUGAACGCUGGCGGCGUGCCUAAUACAUGCAAGUCGAGCGAACAGACGAGGAGCUUGCUCCUCUGACGUUAGCGGCGGACGGGUGAGUAACACGUGGAUAACCUACCUAUAAGACUGGGAUAACUUCGGGAAACCGGAGCUAAUACCGGAUAAUAUAUUGAACCGCAUGGUUCAAUAGUGAAAGACGGUUUUGCUGUCACUUAUAGAUGGAUCCGCGCCGCAUUAGCUAGUUGGUAAGGUAACGGCUUACCAAGGCAACGAUGCGUAGCCGACCUGAGAGGGUGAUCGGCCACACUGGAACGGAGACACGGGCCAGACGCCUACGGGAGGCAGCAGUAGGGAAUCUGCCGCAAUGGGCGAAAGCCUGACGGAGCAACGCCGCGUGAGUGAUGAAGGUCUUCGGAUCGUAAAACUCUGUUAUUAGGGAAGAACAAAUGUGUAAGUAACUAUGCACGUCUUGACGGUACCUAAUCAGAAAGCCACGGCUAACUACGUG